GGCUGUUCCUCCUAUCCUCCAUUCGAUCUGCACUCUUAUAUAUUCAAGAGCUGUCACUUCUUAUGAAGAUCUUGGUCUCUUUGCAUUUGGUCCACCUGGAAAGGUUAUUGUGGCCAGUACAAUCAUUAUACAGAACAUUGGAGGUAAG